rnacentral:rRNA from 1 species
UACGUAGGGUGCUAGCGUUGUCCGGAUUUAUUGGGCGUAAAGAGCUCGUAGGUGGUUUGUCGCGUUGUUCGUGAAAACUCACAGCUUAACUGUGGGCGUGCGGGCGAUACGGGCAGACUUGAGUACUGCAGGGGAGACUGGAAUUCCUGGUGUAGCGGUGGAAUGCGCAGAUAUCAGGAGGAACACCGGUGGCGAAGGCGGGUCUCUGGGCAGUAACUGACGCUGAGGAGCGAAAGCGUGGGGAGCGAACAGG